UACGUAGGGGGCAAGCGUUAUCCGGAUUUACUGGGUGUAAAGGGAGCGUAGACGGUUAUGCAAGUCAGAAGUGAAAGCCCAAAGCUCAACUUCUGGACUGCUUUUGAAACUGUGUAACUAGAGUGCAGGAGGGGUAAGCGGAAUUCCUAGUGUAGCGGUGAAAUGCGUAGAUAUUAGGAGGAACACCGGCGGCGAAGGCGGCUUACUGGACUGUAACUGACGUUGAGGCUCGAAAGCGUGGGGAGCAAACAGG
rnacentral:rRNA from 1 species